rnacentral:sRNA from 1 species
AGGUAUCAGCCGCACAGUCCGAUUCCGGGCGCGCCGUCCGCAUCCAUCCAUCGGCCGAUCGCGACGCCUUGUUGGCC